GGUGACGAGUGGCGGACGGGUGAGUAAUGUCUGGGAAACUGCCUGAUGGAGGGGGAUAACUACUGGAAACGGUAGCUAAUACCGCAUAACGUCGCAAGACCAAAGAGGGGGACCUUCGGGCCUCUUGCCAUCAGAUGUGCCCAGAUGGGAUUAGCUAGUAGGUGGGGUAACGGCUCACCUAGGCGACGAUCCCUAGCUGGUCUGAGAGGAUGACCAGCCACACUGGAACUGAGACACGGUCCAGACUCCUACGGGAGGCAGCAGUGGGGAAUAUUGCACAAUGGGCGCAAGCCUGAUGCAGCCAUGCCGCGUGUAUGAAGAAGGCCUUCGGGUUGUAAAGUACUUUCAGCGGGGAGGAAGGUGUUGUGGUUAAUAACCGCAGCAAUUGACGUUACCCGCAGAAGAAGCCCCGGCUAACUCCGUGCCCGCUCCGCGGUAAUACGGAGGGUGCGAGCGUUAAUCGGAAUUACUGGGCGUCAGCGCACGCAGGCGGUCUGUCAAGUCGGAUGUGAAAUCCCCGGGCUCAACCUGGGGAACUGCAUUCGAAACUGGCACGCUGGAGUUUUUUAA
rnacentral:rRNA from 1 species